rnacentral:rRNA from 1 species
AACGAACGCUGGCGGCAUGCCUAACACAUGCAAGUCGAACGAAGGCUUCGUCCUUAGUUGCGCACAGGUGCGUAACGUGUGGGAAUGUGCCCUUUUCUUCGGAAUACUAGUUAGACAUGACUGCUAACACCGGAUGACGUCCCCAGACCAAAGAUAUAUCGGAAAAGUAUGAGCCCGCGUACGAUUAGCUUGUUGGGGGGGUAUAGGCCUAUCAAGGCGACGAUCCUUAGCUGGUCUGAGAGGAUGAUCAGCCACACUGGGACUGAGACACGGUCCAGACUCCUGCGCGAGGGAGCAGUGGGGAAUAUUGGACAAUGGGGGGAGGCAUGAUGCAGCAAUGCCGCGUGAGUGAUGAAGGUCUUAGGGUUGUGAAGCUGUUUUACCCGGGAUGAUAAUGACAGUACCGGGAGAAUAAGCUCCGGCUAACUGCGUG